rnacentral:rRNA from 1 species
CCAAUAGCGUAUAUUAAAGUUGUUGCAGUUAAAAAGCUCGUAGUUGAAUUUCGGGAUCAGUACGUCGGUCGUGCCUUCGGUAUGCACUGGUGUCACUGAUUCCUCCCUUCUGACGAACCGUCAUGCCAUUCACUUGGUGUGGCGGGAAAUCAGGACUGUUACUUUGAAAAAAUUAGAGUGUUUAAAGCAGGCUCACGCUUGAAUACAUUAGCAUGGAAUAAUGAAAUAGGACGUUGAUCUUAUUUUGUUGGUUUCUAGGAUUGACGUAAUGAUUAAUAGGGAUAGUUGGGGGCAUUAGUAUUCAAUUGUCAGAGGUGAAAUUCUUGGAUUUAUUGAAGACUAACUACUGCGAAAGCAUUUGCCAAGGAUGUUUUCAUUAAUCAAGAACGAAAGUUAGGGGAUCGAAGACGAUCAGAUACCGUCGUAGUCUUAACCAUAAACUAUGCCGACUAGGGAUCGGAUGAUGUUAAUUUUUUAAUGACUCAUUCGGCGCCUUACG